CUGACACAGGUGCUGCAUGGCGUGUCGUCAGCUCGUGUCGUGAGAUGUUGGGUUAAGUCCGUACGAGCGCAACCCUUGUCCUUAGUUACCAGCACGUUAUGGUGGGCACUCUAAGGAGACUGCCGGUGACAAACCGGAGGAAGGUGGGGAUGACGUCAAGUCAUCAUGGCCCUUACGGCCUGGGCUACACACGUGCUACAAUGGUCGGUACAAAGGGUUGCCAAGCCGCGAGGUGGAGCUAAUCCCAUAAAACCGAUCGUAGUCCGGAUCGCAGUCUGCAACUCGACUGCGUGAAGUCGGAAUCGCUAGUAAUCGUGAAUCAGAAUGUCACGGUGAAUACGUUCCCGGGCCUU
rnacentral:rRNA from 1 species